CUACUGAGUUUUUUCACGAGGUGUGGUUCGAGCCAUGCGUCAUUCGAUGCGAAGCAUCGGAUUACGCGUUUUCAAGUAAGACUAACACCAGGCAGGAGAGAACUGAGUGUAAAAACUUUCUUAGUGGCGGACGGGUGAGUAACACGUGAAGAACCUGCCUUACAGAGGGGGACAACAGUUGGAAACGACUGCUAAUACCGCAUAACGUUUAAGGAUGGCAUCAUUCUUAAACCAAAGGAGCAAUCCGCUGUAAGAUGGCUUCGCGUCCGAUUAGACAGUUGGCGGGGUAACGGCCCACCAAAUCUACGAUCGGUAGCCGGACUGAGAGGUUGAUCGGCCACAUUGGGACUGAGACACGGCCCAGACUCCUACGGGAGGCAGCAGUGGGGAAUAUUGCACAAUGGAGGAAACUCUGAUGCAGCGACGCCGCGUGAGGGAAGAAGGUCUUCGGAUUGUAAACCUCUGUCUUCGGUGACGAAAAUGACGGUAGCCGAGGAGGAAGCCACGGCUAACUACGUGCC
rnacentral:rRNA from 1 species